UGGCCUCAGAUCAGGGAGGAUCACCCGCCGAAUUUA
rnacentral:rRNA from 38 species